AAAGGAAUUGACGGGGACCCGCACAAGCGGUGGAGCAUGUGGUUUAAUUCGAAGCAACGCGAAGAACCUUACCAAGUCUUGACAUCCUUUGACCACUCUAGAGAUAGAGCUUCCCCUUCGGGGGCAAAGUGACAGGUGGUGCAUGGUUGUCGUCAGCUCGUGUCGUGAGAUGUUGGGUUAAGUCCCGCAACGAGCGCAACCCUUAUCAUUAGUUGCCAGCAUUCAGUUGGGCACUCUAGUGAUACUGCCGGUGACAAACCGGAGGAAGGUGGGGAUGACGUCAAAUCAGCAUGCCCCUUAUGACUUGGGCUACACACGUGCUACAAUGGAUGGUACAACGAGCAGCGAACUCGCGAGAGUCAGCGAAUCUCUAAAAGCCAUUCUCAGUUCGGAUUGCAGGCUGCAACUCGCCUGCAUGAAGCCGGAAUCGCUAGUAAUCGCGGAUCAGCACGCCGCGGUGAAUCCGUUCCCGGGUCUUGUACACACCGCCCGU
rnacentral:rRNA from 1 species